rnacentral:rRNA from 1 species
GGGUCCGGACACACUGAGGAUUGACAGGCAAUAUUAAUACGUGUUUCGGCGCGUAUUAUGUUAAAUAUGCUAGUCCUUUCAUGAUUAUGUGAUAGGUGGUGCAUGGCCGUUCUUAGUUCGUGGAGUGAUCUGUCUGCUUAAUUGCGUUUCACUAAGAAUCUAUCAAUACGUGCGUUGCGGCACUUUGACCCCUCUCUGAGCGCGCGUCUUAGUUGCUUAGCUCGCACAAUUAGGUCCUGAAAGCAACGAACGUGACCGCAACCUCUUGUUGCCUUUAUACCAAACAUUUUUGCUGUUCUCAGCAUUAAUGCAAAAAGGCUUUUUAAACUAGAGGGACCGCUGUUACUUUCUUAAACCAGAGGAAGGUUGCGGCAAUAACAGGUCUGUGAUGCCCUUAGAUGUUCCGGGCUGCACACGUGCUACAAUGAUUGUUGCAGUGAGCAUCUCAUUUUUACACACCGCAUGCGCGAGUCCGUUUAUUCGCUUCUGUGUUUUAAACGUGUAUUUCUGCGCGCGGUAAAGCCUGCUUCGAGAGUAAGUGGGU